rnacentral:rRNA from 1 species
GACGAACGCUGGCGGCGUGCUUAACAAAUGCAAGUCGAACGGAAAGGCCCUGCUUUUGUGGGGUGCUCGAGUGGCGAAAGGGUGAGUAACACGUGAGUAACCUGCCCUUGACUUUGGGAUAACUUCAGGAAACUGGGGCUUAUACCGGAUAGGAGCUCCUGCUGCAUGGUGUGGGUUGGAAAGUUUCGGCGGUUGGUGAUGGACUCGCGGCUUAUCAGCUUGUUGGUGGGGUAGUGGCUUACCAAGGCUUUGACGGGUAGCCGGCCUGAGAGGGUGACCGGCCACAUUGGUACUGAGAUACGGCGCAGACUGCUACGGGAGGCAGCAGGGGGGAAUAUUGCACAAUGGGCGGAAGCCUGAUGCAGCAACGCCGCGUGCGGGAUGACGGCCUUCGGGUUGUAAACCGCUUUCGCCUGUGACGAAGCGUUAGUGACGGUAAUGGGUAAAGAAGCACCGGCUAACUACGUG